rnacentral:rRNA from 1 species
UAACUACGCCCAGUCAACGUAAGACUUACUGAAGGUGCGGCUAGGAGGUCUCAUGUCGACUUUGGGUGGGUGCUCUAGGCGGAUAAGCUAGUUGGUGUGGUUAGGCUUACCGGGCGAUGAUCGGCAUCCGGUCCUGAGAGAGAUGACAUGGCACCAACUACCUUGAGCAGCUGGAGAACCACCGGUUGCCCAGGAAAUUCCCUGAACGCGGCAGGUCGAGACAGAUGACGCGGGAAUUCUUGGCGACAUGAUGCGGGCCGUGGUAGCGCCCAUGAUUGCGUAGCUCAUCGCCACGGGCUGUAGGCGACGUGCAAUGUACAGUGUCCUCUGCUAGGGGAUCUGUAAAACGUCGCGUUUUCUGAUUACUGGUGGACAGAAAUGUAUUGAACGGGUAACGCCGAGCUAGUAAGUAGGCACCUCG